GAUGAACGCUGGCGGCGUGCCUAAUACAUGCAAGUCGAGCGGAAAGGCCCUUCGGGAUACUCGAGCGGCGGACGGCUGAGUAACGCGUAGGAACGUACCCCAAAGUGAGGGAUAACUGCUCGAAAGAGUAGCUAAUACCGCAUGUGCUCUUCGGAGUAAAGCUUCGGCGCUUUGGGAACGGCCUGCGUCCUAUUAGCUAGUUGGUGAGGUAAUUGCUCACCAAGGCGACGAUAGGUAGCUGGUCUGAGAGGAUGAUCAGCCAGACUGGGACUGAGACACGGCCCAGACUCCUACGGGAGGCAGCAGUAGGGAAUUUUCCACAAUGGGCGAAAGCCUGAUGGAGCAACGCCGCGUGCAGGAUGAAUGCCUUCGGGUUGUAAACUGCUUUUAUAGGUGAAGAAUAUGACGGUAACCUAUGAAUAAGGAUCGGCUAACUCCGUGCCAGCCGCCGCCGUAAGAC
rnacentral:rRNA from 1 species